UAAAAAUAAACAAAACAUUAUUAAAUUCGAGACUGUAAGGUUGUACCUAGAAAUCUCAAAUCACAAAGAAACUAUUGCCUACAUGUGGUCAUAGCAUUACAAAUUGACUAAGCAGGCUAUCUGUUCACACAAAGUCAAUGAGGAUGUUCCCAAAUUCCACCAAUCACCUUAGGUUGCUCUUGCUCAUCAAACUGGUAGUCGACGCUCCUGAUCUU